UACGGGGGGGUAAGCGUUGUUCGGAAUUACUGGGCGUAAAGGGCUCGUAGGCGGCCAACUAAGUCAGACGUGAAAUCCCUCAGCUUAACUGGGGAACUGCGUCUGAUACUGGAUGGCUUGGAUUCGGGAGAGGAAUGCGGAAUUCCAGGUGUAGCGGUGAAAUGCGUAGAUAUCGUAAGGAAGACCAGUGGCGAAGGCGGGUCUCUGGACAGUUCCUGACGCUGAGGCACGAAGGCCAGGGGAGGCAAAACGGG
rnacentral:rRNA from 1 species